rnacentral:rRNA from 1 species
UACGAGGGGGGCGAGCGUUGUUCGGAAUUAUUGGGCGUAAAGGGUGCGUAGGCGGUUUGGUAAGUCUUGUGUGAAAUCUUCGGGCUCAACUCGAAGUCUGCACGAGAAACUGCCGGGCUUGAGUAUGGGAGAGGUGAGUGGAAUUCCCGGUGUAGCGGUGAAAUGCGUAGAUAUCGUAAGGAAGACCAGUGGCGAAGGCGGGUCUCUGGACAGUUCCUGACGCUGAGGCACGAAGGUCAGGGGAGCAAACGGG